rnacentral:rRNA from 1 species
AACGCACCUUGCGCUCCUUGGUAUUCCGAGGAGCAUGCCCGUUUGAGUGUCUUGAUAUCAUCGCGCCCUCCCCCCUUCUGGCGGGGUUGGGCUCGGACUUGGACGCGCUGCCGGGCGACUACGCUCGGCUCGUCCCGAAUGCAUUAGCUGGAUUUCGCCCUCGCGGCCUCGGACUUUUUGUUUCGGCGUGAUAAGAUCACCCGUCGGAAACGCCCCUCGGUCGCUCUGGGAAGCCGGCUUCCAACGGUCCCCCUCCGGGGACAACCCCUCGACGUCUGACCUCAAAUCGGGUAGGACUACCCGCCGAACUUAA